GGUCUCCCAAUUCUUACCACAGGCUGUGUUCUUUACACUGACUGUAUAGAAAGAGGAAGUACAGUAAAUGCACCCAAUAUACACCUCAACACAGGCCUGGUCUGUAUUGUGAAUUGGGGGACAAAA